AAACACCCACAAUCAGACAAUCUAAACGACGCCGCAUAAUAUAUUCCAUCGCCUGCAUCAAAUACAAGCAGUUCUCACAAAUUGCAGAAUCGUCUGAUUGUUGUUUACAAAAGCCACUCGAGCCCUUGCACAGACCAAAUUCAACAGGCGGCUCAAAGUCUCUCUCAUCUCUCUCGUUUUUUGGCUUAGAACUUGCGUUUGGAAGGUAAUUUGAUAUGGCUGGGAGAAACCGUGGUCCCCGUGAAACCUUCAAUGACAGGCAUGGUUACGCACUUGAAGGGCCUUUCAUUCGGGGACCUCCAAUGCCUAGGCCUCCUCCUCCUCCUCCUCGCCAUCCUGCUUUGUUGGAGGAAGAGCUUGAAAUGCAGCAUGCUGAGAUGCGGAGGCUCUUAGGUGAUAAUAGGAUGCUGGUUGAAGACCGUAUGGCUCUGCAUCGAGAGCUUGGUGCUACCAAGGAGGAGCUUCAUCGCAUGAAUAUCGUCGUUGCUGAUGUCCGUGCAGAACAAGAAAUCCGCUUUAGGGAGCUUAGGGAGAAAGGUAUGAAGCUAGAGGCUGAUCUCCGAGCUGCCGAGCCUCUGAAAAAUGAGGCUGCACAACUUCGCACAGAAGUUCAGAAGUUGAAUAACCUAAGGCAGGACCUUGCAACGCAAGUUAAGAGCCUCACUCAAGACAGUGUAAGGUUGCAAGCUGAUAAUCAACAGAUUCCUCUUUUAAGGGCAGAUAUUGAUGGGAUUCACCAGGAGCUUAUGCAUGCUAGGGCGGCACUUGAUUAUGAGAAGAAGGCAAACAUUGAGCUGAUGGAACAGAGACAGACAAUGGAAAAGAACUUGGUUUCCAUGGCUCGUGAAGUUGAGAGGCUACGUGCAGAAUUUGCAAAUGCUGACAGUAGGCCAUGGGGUUCUGGUGGACCAUAUGGGACAAAAUUCAGCAGCUCAGAUAGCAUCUUUUCUGCACCUUAUGGAGAUGGCUAUGGGGUUCACCUGGGCACUGCUGACAAAGGUCCUCGGUAUGGUCUGGGUCCGGCUUCAUUGGGAGGACUUGACAAGCCUCGCACGACUCGUCGUUGAGAUCUGGGUGAUUACUGUUCGAUUGGAGAAUUGGCUUACCUGUUUCUUUUGAUGUCCGUUAUUCAUAUAUAAAUGGGCAAGAAGUGUUAGUUUUCAUCUACGUCUGCAUUCCAUAUCAAAAAUAGAAGGCUGGUACUUUUGCUUGGAAGGUAGGGGAAGGGAAAGGAUGAGUCAGAUAAACUUAUGCGAUGCUGGCUGAAUGGUCUUUUAGUGGAUAUUUAGCAUCACAAUUGGUUGCUUUCAGCAAUUUUCAUACAUGCUUGCCCCUUACUGCAUGUUCUGUAAGGUGCUGGAAGUGCUUUAGGCAAGCAGCAGAUAUAUUCCAACCACAUUACCGGAGCAGCAGCAGCAGUUUGCCGUUUCUGGAAAUUGUUUUCCAGAGGCAGAUCUGGGGUUUACUGAGUUUUCUUGAAACCUCAAAUCAGCUUUCAUUCAUUCAGGGUAAAGACCAGCCAGGUACCCCACAUUACCCCUCUUCUUCCACUUUUCUUAAUUUUUUUAAGAGCUGCUUUAAGGAUGUUAUCAAGGGAGGAGGUGAAGCUUUGGAGAGGAGUGCCUUGUGACUGUCGUGGUCGUUAUACGUCAUGAUUUGCUUCUGUUCUUAGAUAUCCCGAUCUUGAGCCGAGCUGAGGGGUUGGGAUGGUUUUGCUGCAAAAAAAUAAAAAUAAAAUAGGCUUUCGAAGCUUAAGCGUAAAAGUUAAAUAUUUGAAUGGUACUCUUUAAAGUUGAUACCGAGACUCAAUUUCGAUGUUUUCUUUUAAACACGCACACAAUUUUGUGGAGUUUAGUUUUGGUUAA